rnacentral:snoRNA from 1 species
CUAGUGUGGAUACCCCAGGAAGUCACUCUCCCCAGGUUCUGUCCAAGUGGCCUAUAGGCACAUAGGGCUCUGCCCCAGGAUAUACAGUCCCUUUCCACAACACUGGAGAAGUUGGGUCUUGAGUCUGAGCUUGCAUAUUCCUACAACUUCUUAGAAUCCUGUGGACAAUGACUGAGGAGACAAACUAUACAGGAAUCAAUG